UACGUAGGGUGCAAGCGUUAAUCGGAAUUACUGGGCGUAAAGCGUGCGCAGGCGGUUGUGCAAGACCGAUGUGAAAUCCCCGGGCUUAACCUGGGAAUGGCAUUGGUGACUGCACGGCUAGAGUGUGUCAGAGGGGGGUAGAAUUCCACGUGUAGCAGUGAAAUGCGUAGAGAUGUGGAGGAAUACCGAUGGCGAAGGCAGCCCCCUGGGAUAACACUGACGCUCAUGCACCGAAAGCGUGGGGGAGCAAACAGG
rnacentral:rRNA from 1 species